rnacentral:rRNA from 1 species
UACGUAGGGCGCAAGCGUUGUCCGGAAUUAUUGGGCGUAAAGAGCUCGUAGGCGGCCUGUUGCGUCCGCUGUGAAAUCCCGGGGCUCAACCCCGGGCCUGCAGUGGAUACGGGCUGGCUAGAGGCAGGCAGGGGAGAACGGGAAUUCCUGGUGUAGCGGUGAAAUGCGUAGAUAUCGGGAGGAACACCAGUGGCGAAGGCGGCUUCCUGGCCUGCAACUGACGCUGAGACGCGAAAGCGUGGGGAGCGAACAGG